GCCUAAUACAUGCAAGUCGAGCGAAUGGAUUAGAGAGCUUGCUCUUAUGAAGUUAGCGGCGGACGGGUGAGUAACACGUGGGUAACCUGCCCAUAAGACUGGGAUAACUCCGGGAAACCGGGGCUAAUACCGGAUAAUAUUUUGAACUGCAUGGUUCGAAAUUGAAAGGCGGCUUCGGCUGUCACUUAUGGAUGGACCCGCGUCGCAUUAGCUAGUUGGUGAGGUAACGGCUCACCAAGGCAACGAUGCGUAGCCGACCUGAGAGGGUGAUCGGCCACACUGGGACUGAGACACGGCCCAGACUCCUACGGGAGGCAGCAGUAGGGAAUCUUCCGCAAUGGACGAAAGUCUGACGGAGCAACGCCGCGUGAGUGAUGAAGGCUUUCGGGUCGUAAAACUCUGUUGUUAGGGAAGAACAAGUGCUAGUUGAAUAAGCUGGCACCUUGACGGUACCUAACCAGAAAGCCACGGCUAACUACGUGCCAGCAGCCGCGGUAAUACGUAGGUGGCAAGCGUUAUCCGGAAUUAUUGGGCGUAAAGCGCGCGCAGGUGGUUUCUUAAGUCUGAUGUGAAAGCCCACGGCUCAACCGUGGAGGGUCAUUGGAAACUGGGAGACUUGAGUGCAGAAGAGGAAAGUGGAAUUCCAUGUGUAGCGAUGAAGUGC
rnacentral:rRNA from 1 species